rnacentral:lncRNA from 1 species
CAGUAGGUGACCCCAGAGCAGCUGCAUUGCUGGGCCAUGAAUAGUCACAGCUGCUUCUGAUGAAGAUGGUGAUGGCUGGUAUGCUUAGGAGACCGUUUGCAACAAGUGCCCUGAAGACACCCGGGGCUCACUCAAGAGGAGUCAAUGGACGUAGCUGCUUGUCUUGGGGUUCAGCAGCACAAUCUUUAGGGUACGUAGAGGAAGGAAUGGGAGGAGCCUGAGACCCCUAACAGUGGACCUCUGGAAUAAUCCAUCAGUCUGUUGUACUCAUCUUUGGUUUUGUGGCAAAUGUUUUAUCUCUGAGUCAUGUCUAUUUCCUACUGCGAUGGAGGAUCUAGCAGAGCAGCGACUGUUCAGGUGUGGUGGUGGAGGAGUGACAUCUGCAGGCCUGGGAGGUCAUCUGUUACAGUAACACUGCAGCCUGGAAAAAAGGAACUCACCCGGUGGCUAAUGAAGAAAUGCAAUGCAGACUCUCAGAACCUCGGGAACAGCCGCUAAUGACAAACUGCAGGGAGAUUCACGAUCAUGGCUGCGGUGGUGAGAAAGGAAGGAUGCAGGGGAAGAGUGGAGGCUGGACUUCCACAUUCCCAUCCAUUUCUUUCAUGUAGAAAAUACUGGAGGAAGACUGGGGAUGGGGCAUGUGGCUGAAUAGUUGCUUUGUGUGUGUCAGGUCGUGGGUUCAAGCCUCAGUACUGAAAACUAAAAAAAUUAGAAUAAAUAUGUUCACGAUGUGAACGGAACAUAACACUAAUUGCACCGUGCACUGGAAAAUGCUGGAAACAUGGCUCUGAA